UACGGAGGGUGCAAGCGUUGUCCGGAUUUAUUGGGUUUAAAGGGUGCGUAGGCGGCCCUGUAAGUCAGUGGUGAAAAUACUGCAGCUUAACUGUAGCAUUGCCAUUGAUACUGCAGGGCUUGAGUACAGAUGAGGUAGGCGGAAUUGAUGGUGUAGCGGUGAAAUGCAUAGAUACCAUCAAGAACACCGAUUGCGAAGGCAGCUUACUAAGCUGUAACUGACGCUGAGGCACGAAAAGUGUGGGGGAUC
rnacentral:rRNA from 1 species